CUACGGGGUGCAGCAGUGAGGAAUAUUGGACAAUGGGCGAGAGCCUGAUCCAGCCAUGCCGCGUGCAGGAAGACUGCCCUAUGGGUUGUAAACUGCUUUUAUACGGGAAGAAACACUCCUACGUGUAGGGGCUUGACGGUACCGUAAGAAUAAGCAUCGGCUAACUUCGUGCCAGCAGCCGCGGUAAUACGGAGGAUGCAAGCGUUAUCCGGAAUCAUUGGGUUUAAAGGGUCCGUAGGCGGGCUGUUAAGUCAGGGGUGAAAGUUUGCGGCUCAACCGUAAAAUUGCCUCUGAUACUGAUAGUCUUGAAUCAGUGUGAAGUGGUUAGAAUGAGUAGUGUAGCGAUGAAAUGCAUAGAUAUUACUCAGAAUACCGAUUGCGAAGGCAGAUCACUAACACUGUAUUGACGCUGAGGGACGAAAGCGUGGGGAGCGAACAGGAUUAGAUACCCCCGUAGUC
rnacentral:rRNA from 1 species